UAAUUUUAAGUCAAAUYUGCUCCMUGAAUUAAUUUUAAAUAGCUGCAGAAUUUUAACUGUACAAAGGUAGCAUAAUCAAUAGUUUUUUAAUUAAAAGCUGGAAUGAAUGAUUUAAUAAGGUAAAUUUUGUCUCAAAUUUAAUAAUAUUAGAAUUUUUUUUUUAGUAAUAAAACUAAAUUAAAUUUAAAAGACGAGAAGACCCUAUAGAUUUUUAUAAUUUUGGUAGGDAUUAAUUUAAAUUAUUAAAUAAAAUUUAUAUUGAAAUUAUUUGAUUGGGGAAAUUAUUAAAUUAUUAAAAUUUUAAUAUAAUAAAACCUUAAAUGAAAGAAUUUUUGAUCUUAARAUUUAAAUUAAAAGAAUAAAUUACCUUAGGGAUAACAGCGUAAUUUUUUUGGAGAGAUCAUAUUGAUAAAAAAGUUUGCGACCUCGAUGUUGAAUUAAGAUGAAAUUUUAAAGAAGA
rnacentral:rRNA from 1 species